AAUGUUCUGUAAUGUUCUGUAAUGCUCUGUAAUGUUCUGUAAUGCUCUGUAAUGCUCUGUAAUGCUCUGUAAUGUUCUGUAAUGCUCUGUAAUGUUCUGUAAAUCUCUGUAAUGUUCUGUAAUGCUCUGUAAUGCUCUGUAAUGUUCUGUAAAUCUCUGUAAUGUUCUGUAAUGCUCUGUAAUGCUCUGUAAUGUUCUGUAAUGCUCUGUAAUGUUCUGUAAUGCUCUGUAAUGCUCUGUAAUGCUCUGUAAUGCUCUGUAAUUUCUAGUAGUAAUCCAUCAUGGGAGGGUUGUGUGGUGCUAAAUGGUUCCUUUGGUAAGUGGAACCGGGCGGCAGAUAACCUGGCAGUUUAGAGUGUUGGGCCUGUAACUGAAAGGUUGCUGGUUGAUGAAAAAUAUGUCGAUGUGCCCUUAAGCAAGGCACUUAACCCUAAUUGCUCCUGUAAGUCGCUCUGGAUAAGAGUACCUGCUCAAUGAGUAAAAUGUCAAAUGUAUAAGUUGAUUGACGCUGGCCAGGCAAGGACUGGAGGACGGUCAGGUUAUCAUCAAUAUGCAAAGCAGCCGGACCUCCGAGUGAUGAGAGAGAAACAGGGAGAGGGAGAGACAGAGAGAGGGUUUAUAGUUUCAGAGAGAGAGAAACAGGGAGAGGGAGAGGCAGAGAGAGGGUUUAUAGGUUCAGAGAGAGAGAAACAGGGAGAGGGAGAGGCAGAGAGAGGGUUUAUAGGUUCAGAGAGAGAGAAACAGGGAGAGGGAGAGGCAGAGAGAGGGUUUAUAGGUUCAGAGAGAGAGAAACAGGGAGAGGGAGAGGCAGAGAGAGGGUUUAUAGGUUCAGAGAGAGAGAAACAGGGAGAGGGAGAGGCAGAGAGAGGGUUUAUAGGUUCAGAGAGAGAGAAACAGGGAGAGGGAGAGGCAGAGAGAGGGUUUAUAGUUUCAGAGAGAGAGAAACAGGGAGAGGCAGAGAGAGGGUUUGUAGGUUCAGAGAGAGAGAAACAGGGAGAGGGAGAGGCAGAGAGAGGGUUUAUAGGUUCAGAGAGAGAGAAACAGGGAGAGGCAGAGAGAGGGUUUAUAGGUUCAGAGAGAGAGAAACAGGGAGAGGCAGAGAGAGGGUUUAUAGGUUCAGAGAGAGAGAAACAGGGAGAGGGAGAGGCAGAGAGAGGGUUUAUAGGUUCCGCGUGUCACGCCUUGGUCUUAGUAUUUUGUGUUUUCUUUAUUUAUUUGGUCAGGCCAGGGUGUGACAUGGGUUUAUUUUGUGGUGUGUUUUUGUAUUGGGGUUUUAGUAGGUAUUGGGAUUGUGGCUGAGUAGGGUUGUCUAGGAAAGUCUAUGGUUGCCUGAGGCGGUUCUUAAUCAGAGGCAGGUGAUUUUCGUUGUCUCUGAUUGGGAACCAUAUUUAGGCAGCCAUAUUCUUUGAGUGUGUCGUGGGUGAUUGUUCCUGUCUCUGUGUUAGUUGUCACCAGAUAGGCUGUACAGGUUUUCACAUUCCGUUUGUUGUUUUUGUAUUGUUUGUUUUUCUUCUUCAUUAAAGAUUUAUCGAACUAACCACGCUG